UUAGUUGGUUUUCAGCAGCGACUCUACUUCACAGGAGACCGACUGGGCUACAGAUUUUGCGUGUGACCUUCCCAGGGACAGAAGAUGAAUUAAUGUACAGAUAUAAGUCAAGAUGGAGAAUCGACAGACCAUUUUGACCAGCCUUAUUGUGAUCCUCAUGGCCUUAACACGGCUUAGCGAGGGAGGCUACGUUGCACCGUGCAACAGGCUCAAGUUCGACCACUACGUGCACGGUUACUGCCUCCC